rnacentral:rRNA from 1 species
AUUGAACGCUGGCGGCAGGCCUAACACAUGCAAGUCGACCGCGUGGCGGACGGGUGAGUAAUGUCUGGGAAACUGCCUGCUGGAGGGGGAUCACUCCUGGAAAAGUUAGCUAAUACCGCAUACCUUCAGUUAUGCCCAGAUGGGAGUAGCUAGUGGGUGGGGUAACGGUUCACCACGGCGACGAUCCCUAGCUGGUCUGAGAGGAUGACCAGACACACUGGAACUGAGACACGGUCCAGACUCCUACGGGAGGCAGCAGUGGGGAAUAUUGCACAAUGGGCGCAAGCCUGAUGCAGCCAUGCCGCGUGUAUGAAGAAGGCCUUCGGGUUGGAAAGUACUUUCAGCGGGGAGGCGUUACCCGCAGAAGAAGCACCGGCUAACUACGUGCCAGCAGCCGCGGUAAUAC